AAUGGGGGCAACCCUGAUCCAGCCAUGCCGCGUGAGUGAUGAAGGCCUUAGGGUCGUAAAGCUCUUUCAGCUGGGAAGAUAAUGACGGUACCAGCAGAAGAAGCCCCGGCUAACUCCGUGCCAGCAGCCGCGGUAAUACGGAGGGGGCUAGCGUUGUUCGGAAUUACUGGGCGUAAAGCGCGCGUAGGCGGGCUGUUAAGUCGGGGGUGAAAUCCCGGGGCUCAACCCCGGAACUGCCUCCGAUACUGGCAGCCUAGAGAUCGAGAGAGGCGAGUGGAAUACCGAGUGUAGAGGUGAAAUUCGUAGAUAUUCGGUGGAACACCAGUGGCGAAGGCGGCUCGCUGGCUCGAUACUGACGCUGAGGUGCGAAAGCGUGGGGAGCAAACAGGAUU
rnacentral:rRNA from 1 species